rnacentral:tRNA from 25 species
UGGGGGAUAGUUUAGCGGUAGAACUCCCGGCUCUGACCCGGGCAGCCUUGGUUCGAAUCCAGGUCCCCCAGCCA